rnacentral:rRNA from 1 species
UACAGAGGGUGCAAGCGUUGUUCGGAAUUAUUGGGCGUAAAGCGCGUGUAGGCGGCCUUGCAAGUCGGGCGUGAAAUCCCUCAGCUUAACUGAGGAAGUGCGCCCGAAACUGCUUGGCUUGAGUACCGGAGAGGAUGGCGGAAUUCCCCAAGUAGAGGUGAAAUUCGUAGAUAUGGGGAGGAACACCGGUGGCGAAGGCGGCCAUCUGGACGGAUACUGACGCUGAGACGCGAAAGCGUGGGUAGCAAACAGG